rnacentral:rRNA from 1 species
CCCGUAGGCGGCUUGGUAAGUCGGGUGUGAAAACCCCAGGCUCAACCUGGGGACGCCACCCGAUACUGUCAUGGCUUGAGUCUGGUAGGGGAGUGCGGAACUCCUGGUGUAGCGGUGAAAUGCAUAGAUAUCAGGAAGAACACCGGUGGCGAAGGCGGCACUCUGGGCCAGUACUGACGCUGAUGGGCGAAAGCGUGGGGAGCAAACAGGAUUAGAUACCCUGGUAGUCCACGCCGUAAACGUUGGGCACUAGGUGUGGGGGGUUUCAACGCCCUCUGUGCCGUAGCUAACGCAUUAAGUGCCCCGCCUGGGGAGUACGGCCGCAAGGCUAAA